rnacentral:rRNA from 1 species
AUUGAACGCUGGCGGCAUGCCUUACACAUGCAAGUCGAACGGCAGCACGGGAGCUUGCUCCUGGUGGCGAGUGGUGAACGGGUGAGUAAUACAUCGGAACGUACCCUGAAGUGGGGGAUAACGUAGCGAAAGUUACGCUAAUACCGCAUAUUCUGUGAGCAGGAAAGAGGGGGAUCGCAAGACCUCUUGCUUUAGGAGCGGCCGAUGUCGGAUUAGCUAGUUGGUGAGGUAAAGGCUCACCAAGGCGACGAUCCGUAGCGGGUCUGAGAGGAUGAUCCGCCACACUGGGACUGAGACACGGCCCAGACUCCUACGGGAGGCAGCAGUGGGGAAUUUUGGACAAUGGGCGCAAGCCUGAUCCAGCCAUGCCGCGUGAGUGAAGAAGGCCUGGUGUAAGA